rnacentral:lncRNA from 1 species
UUUUUUAGAAAUGCUGGAAUGAAGAGGUCAGAAAGCAGGUCUCGUAAGAGAAGCUCUAUUUCAUAAAUCCUAUCGGUCGAUGAUAUAGUUUUGACUUUCUGUAUAUAAGAUAUGUUUAAAACAUCUACGCAAAUAUUUGUGUUUUGCUAAGUCUUUAUGAAUGUACUGGUACUGUUUCUAUAUAUACUUUUAGCCCACUAAGAUUGAAGAGUUGAUGAGAGCUUUUGCCAUUACUUGUCAUGUUUCAUUAAAACUCAGCUGCAAUAAUUGGUCCAAAGAACUAAAUUUUUGUAUUAUGCCGUUUGAUUGCUUCAGAUCUUUAUCCAGGAGGCAUGGUGAUGAAUCUAUUUCAAUAUGGAGAUAAAAGCAUAUCUUGAAUUGAGGCAUAUUUACAUGUUUGAUAAAAAUGACAUUACCAACUGAAUCCAGAAUUUUGAGGAAUGGUUAUUCCCAAAUAUCCUUUUAAAGUCAUGCCUGAAAAAUGUCUACGCUUAAUAUGCAAGUUUUAAAAUUGAAAUAAUUGAAAUAAUUGAUAAAAUUAAUUAAACUAUUAGAACAGCUCUCUGGUGGUCCUAUUUAAAACCAUAAUUGACAGCUCUGCCCAUUAUCCUUAAACAAGAGCAACCUAUGGGCUGAAACAUUUUUAACAUCUCUGAAACUAACUUGGCCAACUCCUCAACAUUGGUCCCUUUCAAAAUCAUUAUUACAAAUUCAGAAAAUCAUACAAAAUAGAUAUUUUAUUGACAAACGAAUUUAAGGAAGUUUUUUUUAUCAAAAAUUAUUGCUUAUAGCCGAGUAAAACUAGUGCAAAAAGAGAACUUUUUUUGCUGAUUUUGGUAAACAUGUUGGCCCUUUUUAAAAGGGACAUUUACAGGUAUUUUUUAAUUCUAAUAAGAUGUAAUGCAUGCUUCAAUAAGAGAAAAUAAAAAAAAGGACUGGUUUUAAUUUGAC